UGAAUUCCCAAAGGGGAGUAGCGUCGGUGCAAACCGAAACAAAGUCGUCAUUCCGUGAGCAUUUAUCUCACCGGCUUUGUUGACAUGGAUAUGACAUGUUUAGCAAGACCUUUGCCAUUUUUUGGCAGGGGUCUUUUUAAUACGCUACAUACAGGAC
rnacentral:sRNA from 2 species